UACAGAGGUGGCAAGCGUUGUUCGGAAUUACUGGGCGUAAAGGGCGCGUAGGCGGCCAUCUAAGUCAGACGUGAAAUCCCCCGGCUUAACCUGGGAACUGCGUCUGAUACUGGAAGGCUUGAGUAUGGGAGAGGGUAGCGGAAUUCCCGGUGUAGUGGUGAAAUGCGUAGAUAUCGGGAGGAACACCAGUGGCGAAGGCGACUACCUGGCCUGUUCUUGACGCUGAGGCGCGAAAGCGUGGGGAGCAAACAGG
rnacentral:rRNA from 1 species